GUUUUGGUUGGUGUUGGUGAUGGUGAUGGACCUUGGGAUAAUAUGAAGAAAUUCGAUGAUAUGAUUCCGUCGCGUGACGUCGACAACUUCCAGUUUGUUAACUUCACUGGGAUUAUGACAAAGAAAUCAAGUCAAAAGAGAAGGAAACUGCCUUUGCUCUUGCUGCUCUCAUGGAGAUCCCUUACAGUACACAGCAUACAUGGAACUUGGCAUUCUUGGACAACGGACCGGAAAAGCGAAGAAAGUAGUUCCACGGCCUCCUCCGGUUUCCUACCGUAGACCUGCUCUGCCUGAACGCUACCAAGCAAUGCCUCGGCAUCACCGGCGAUUGCAUCAGAUGAUCAGCAGUCUGUAUGCCCAAUAUGCCUUACGAAUACAAAGGACUUGGCCUUUAAUUGUGGGCAUAUGG